CGACGGCAACUUCACCCUCCAGUUCCACAGGCUGAUCAAUGUCACCGUGGAGUUCCAGCUCAAGGCCAUCAACAUCCAAACGCUGCUGAACCACGAGAUCCCCGACUGCUACACCUUCAGUGUCACCGUGACGUUUGACAACCGCGCCCACAGCGGGCGAGUGCGGAUCCGCCUGGACACCCACGCGGCCAUCCGGGAGUGCCACCACCCCUCGCUGCCCGGCACAGGUGACAGCGGGUGACAGCGGGUGACAAUGGGUUCU